rnacentral:rRNA from 1 species
CGGACGGGUGAGUAAUGUCUGGGAAACUGCCUGAUGGAGGGGGAUAACUACUGGAAACGGUAGCUAAUACCGCAUAACGUCGCAAGACCAAAGAGGGGGACCUUCGGGCCUCUUGCCAUCAGAUGUGCCCAGAUGGGAUUAGCUAGUAGGUGGGGUAACGGCUCACCUAGGCGACGAUCCCUAGCUGGUCUGAGAGGAUGACCAGCCACACUGGAACUGAGACACGGUCCAGACUCCUACGGGAGGCAGCAUG